GGCCUAUUAGCUCAGUUGAUUAGAGCGUCGUGCUAAUAACGCGAAUGUCACAGGAUCGAGAGCUGCAUGGGCCC
rnacentral:tRNA from 1 species